ACCGUAACUGUAAGGCGCCAUCUAACCAAUGUCAUCACGUGACUGGAAAGUGUCCCGACGGCUGUGUCACUGGUUUCACUGGAGAUGACUGUUUACAGAACUGUCCUAGUGGCUAUUAUGGAACUAACUGUUCCCUGAGUGGUGCAGACAGACAUUGUAACAGUUCCGCCUGACCUGCUGAUGGGGCCUGUGGCGCUGCAUGUGAGGCGAGGUGGACACUGCAGAGUUGCACACGAGAGUGUCCCAGGGGGAAGUAUGGCAUCAAUUAUAACGGUAGUGUUGGCAUGUUGAGAUGAAUCUUGUCUGCCACGUGAUAUUCCACACAGAGUGUCCCCGGGGAAAUUGUGGCAUCAACUGUUACUGUAGUGUUGAUAUGUUGAGAUGAAUCUUGUCUGUCAUGUGAUAUUCCACACAGAGUGUUCCAGGGGAAAGUAUGGCAUCAACUGUGACUGUAGUGUUGAUAUGUUGAGAUGAAUCUUGUCUGCCACGUGAUAUUCCACACAAAGUGUUCCAGGGGAAAUUGUGGCAUCAACUGUUACUGUAGUGUUGAUAUUUUGAGAUGAAUCCUGUCUGUCAUGUGAUAUUCC